AAUAAACAAAAUGAAUAUUUGCAUCAAUAUUAAAUUAUUUACAGAGUAUGAACAAUAUUUUAGAAAUGUAGACGUAGAUGGUUUUACUUAAUUUCUCUCAAUAUUGAUUUUUUUUUUUUUUUUAUCAAUGACUAUGAUUUUAAAUGUUCUACCUUUAAAUUUGUAAGAUAUUUUUUAUGUUCUGACUAUAAAUAAUCAUUUUCUACCACAACUAACCAUCUACUUUCAUCACAUUUCACUAAGGAAGAAAAAUCUCCCAUUAAACUUUAAAGAAAUAUUGAUAUUAUUUAUAAACUACAUGGACAAAAGUAUUGGGACACAUUAUGUGUUCAGUUGUAAGAAGUCCUGUUUAUGUUGAUUUGAGGUAAAAACAAAAAUUUUAAAAAU